GCGGCGGCGGCGGCGCUGUAGAUGGAGCCUGAAGAUGAACAGGAGGCUGAGGCCACCUGGACGGCACAAGCACCUUUUGUGAAUGUAGACUCUACUAAUGUCAAACCAGAUGCCAAACAAGAAGUGACAGCCUGUUCAUGGGUGCGGAAGGCAGGGAGGCGCUGUAAAGAGUGCUUCUCGCGGAGAAUAUCCUGUGGGCUAUGUGUAUCUUUGGGAUUUCUGCCGGUGGUGGUGACCAUUGUGUUUGGUAAGUUUUUGGAACAUUUUCCAUUUGAGAUAUAUCUCCUCUGACUACUGGGCUCCAGGAUCACAGCAGUCAAGCACAACAACAUUAGUACUGCACAGUCAAAAAACCUGGGACUUCCAUUACUACUUCAGUUGUUUUGAUGUCAGUCUAAGGUUGAAUAACGUCCAGGCAGAAUUUAAAAGGAAACAGAAUUCUCCCCAUGGAUAAAAAUCCAGAUGAUGCAGCUGUAAACUUUUUUUUUUCUUUUUGCUGCAUCCUUACUACUCUUAAGAGUGUAGCUUCUUGCCUGGCCAUCCAUAUGGUGUAUGCAUGUCUGGUCUUUGCUUAUCACCAGUAACUCACUUGAUUAUACCUUAGUGCACAAAGUCAGCAUCGCAUCUCCCGGCAUAGACUCCAGGCUUACUGUGUGGGCUGCUUGUAUAUCUGGUCUCGAGGGCUUCUUUAUUGUCACACGUGGAAGGCAACUACGUAAUACAGCCAGCUUAUCUUUUCACAAAUGUGGGAGUCAUUCUGUCUUUCAUUUUUUAAAAAUUCUUUUGUGUAUUUUUAAGUAGAAGUCAGGCCUACCUCCCACUGGCACAGUGGAGGCCAGAUGUGCUCCCACUGUCCCAUGCAGAACUCUUCUAUGGGAUCAAAGGCUGUGCUGCCUGCAGCAUUACCUGAGGUAUCCAAGUCACUGGUUACCUGUGAAUCUCAGUGGAGCCUCCGCAGCCCCGUCUGCACAGGGAGCUCUCGAAUCUCUGCAUUAAGUAUAUCUUCAGUCUGCCCCCUGCAACAACAUGAGGUAUAGUAGUGCAGUCCUCUGCACAUAUGUGGAAAUGAAUGGAAGAUGAUAGUGACAUCUGUCCCUGUUGAUUUUCCUUUGCUUUGUUAGGCUUUUAUUUAAAUGGAAUCAGUCACAUUUUCUUGGAGGGGGUGAAGGCAGCACUCACAGGUGACUUGCUAAGGGGUCUCCAAUUUGUAUAUAGCAAAGAGAGUAGCUGAUUAGAAAGGCAAAGAGCAAGUGUGAUGACAGCAGGAUGCAGAGUCUGGGAGAUCAAUUCACUUCCUGCAAGGCCCUCUACUUACAUAACGGACAGGUACUUUCACUUCAAUAUUAUCCAUCUGCAAGCUUAAGCAGUGGAAGAAUGCUUAAGCCUGGGUGCUUUGGGUGCUGCAAAAGGUCUGGAUUCGAUCCCAGCAGGAUGACCCAGGAAAUACACUUUAUACACUGGGUGAGCCCGGCUGUGUUACAACAGACACCGUGCUGCGCAGAAAAGGUCACUGUAACCAUUCAGUAACGAUCAGGGCAGAUUGUUUUUGUUUGGAAAAUAGAAAUAAAGGGAAAUGCAAAUGAGUUCACUUCAUUGCAUGAAAUUAAACUCUGAAAUGAAACAUGCUAGUGAAUCCUAUCAUCCUCACAGAGCUACUGUGACAGAAAGAAGUUGAAGAGAGGGCAUCAAAAUGUGCUAGGGAACAACUCCAAAGAACCAUUGUCCAAACCAUUAUCUCCAAAUAAUAAUACUUUUUACCUCUUCAUUAACAGACAAAUUUCAUUAGCAUCCUAUCAACACCUAAUUUACCUGCCUUCACACAUAUUUAUCAAACAGUUAGAGGUCUGAUAGAAGAUCAAAGUAACUUGUCUUCAUGAAAUACCUCACCAGUUGUAGAUAUUCAAUUAUUCAUUACUGAAAA